CAUCCAUGUAGUGUCCAGCGGUGCAGGAGGAGGUAUGUGUCCAGUCACCGCCAUCGUCUGUCAGGUUCCUACAAUAUAGGAUCCGCUCAGUGGAUAUCUUCUAUAUAAGAUCCUUCUCCUGAUUGACCCGUCAAUGAUGGAUAGGGACAGGAACAAGAUGGCGGAGAGUAUAAUAAAUCUCACCCUAGAGAUUCUCUUCCGGCUUACUGGAGAGGACUACACAGUAGUGAAGAAGACCUCUAGUGAGCGCUGUCAGGCCCCUGUCUCUGAAGGAUCGGGAAGAACCCUGAACCCAAUCACAGGGCCUCCACCUCACCCCCUGAUACAUGAAGAAAAUAAUAGAGAGAAGAUCCUAGAACUCACCAACAAGAUGAUUGAGCUGCUGACUGGAGAGGUUCCUAUAAGGUGUCAGGAUGUCACCGUCUAUUUCUCCAU